rnacentral:rRNA from 1 species
UAAGCGGAGGAAAAGAAACUAACAAGGAUUCCCCUAGUAACGGCGAGUGAAGCGGGAAGAGCUCAAAUUUGAAAUCUGGCAGUCUUCGAUUGUCCGAGUUGUAAUCUAUAGAGGCGUUUUCCGUGCCGGACCGUGUCCAAGUCUCCUGGAAAGGAGUAUCAAAGAGGGUGAUAAUCCCGUACUUAACACGACCACCGGUGCUCUGUGAUACGUCUUCUACGAGUCGAGUUGUUUGGGAAUGCAGCUCAAAAUGGGUGGUGAAUUCCAUCUAAAGCUAAAUAUUGGCGAGAGACCGAUAGCGAACAAGUACCGUGAGGGAAAGAUGAAAAGCACUUUGGAAAGAGAGUUAAACAGUACGUGAAAUUGUUGAAAGGGAAACGAUUGAAGUCAGUCGUGUUCUUUGGAUUCAGCCAGUUCUGCUGGUCUACUUCCUUUGAACGGGUCAACAUCAGUUUUGUCCGGUGGAUAAAGGUAGUAGGAAUGUGACUUCCCCGGAAGUGUUAUAGCCUAUUAUCACAUACACUGGGUGAGACUGAGGACUGCAGCUCACCUUUAUGGCCGACCUUCGGGUACGUUCGAGCUUAGGAUGUUGACAUAAUGGCUUUAAACGACCCGUCUUGAAACACG